rnacentral:rRNA from 1 species
AGCGAACGCUGGCGGCAGGCUUAACACAUGCAAGUCGAGCGGGCACUUUCGGGUGUCAGCGGCAGACGGGUGAGUAACACGUGGGAACGUACCCUUUGGUCCGGAACAACUCCGGGAAACUGGAGCUAAUACCGGAUAAGCCCUUCGGGGAAGGAUUAUUGCCAAAGGAUCGGCCCGCGUCUGAUUAGCUAGUUGGUGAGGUAACGGCUCACCAAGGCGACGAUCAGUAGCUGGUCUGAGAGGAUGAUCAGCCACACUGGGACUGAGACACGGCCCAGACUCCUACGGGAGGCAGCAGUGGGGAAUAUUGGACAAUGGGCGAAAGCCUGAUCCAGCCAUGCCGCGUGAGUGAUGAAGGCCCUAGGGUUGUAAAGCUC